UACGUAGGGCGCAAGCGUUAUCCGGAAUUAUUGGGCGUAAAGAGCUCGUAGGCGGUUUGUCGCGUCUGCCGUGAAAGUCCGAGGCUCAACCUCGGAUCUGCGGUGGGUACGGGCAGACUAGAGUGAUGUAGGGGAGACUGGAAUUCCUGGUGUAGCGGUGAAAUGCGCAGAUAUCAGGAGGAACACCGAUGGCGAAGGCAGGUCUCUGGGCAUUAACUGACGCUGAGGGGCGAAAGCAUGGGGAGCGAACAGG
rnacentral:rRNA from 1 species